rfam:Phytophthora nicotianae strain race 0 contig4664, whole genome shotgun sequence.
GACACAAUGGCCGAGUGGUCUAAGGCGCCGGUUUUGGGCACCAGUCUUCAUUGGCAUGAGUUCAAAUCCCACUCAUGUCA